rnacentral:rRNA from 1 species
AUUGAACGCUGGCGGCAUGCCUUACACAUGCAAGUCGAACGGCAGCACGGGAGCAAUCCUGGUGGCGAGUGGCGAACGGGUGAGUAAUAUAUCGGAACGUGCCCGAUCGUGGGGAUAACGUAGCGAAAGCUACGCUAAUACCGCAUACGAUCUAUGGAUGAAAGCGGGGGAUCGCAAGACCUCGCGCGAUUGGAGCGGCCGAUAUCAGAUUAGGUAGUUGGUGAGGUAAAGGCUCACCAAGCCGACGAUCUGUAGCUGGUCUGAGAGGACGACCAGCCACGACUGGGACUGAGACAGGCCCAGACUCCUACGGGAGGCAGCAGUGGGGGAAUUUUGGACAAUGGGCGAAAGCCUGAUCCAGCAAUGCCNCGUGAGUGAUGAAGGCCU